rnacentral:rRNA from 1 species
CUAUCUACAGGCUUAACACAUGCAAGUCGAGGGGCAGCAUGGUCUUAGCUUGCUAAGGCCGAUGGCGACCGGCGCACGGGUGAGUAACACGUAUCCAACCUGCCGUCUACUCUUGGACAGCCUUCUGAAAGGAAGAUUAAUACAAGAUGGCAUCAUGAGUCCACAUGUUCACAUGAUUAAAGGUAUUCCGGUAGACGAUGGGGAUGCGUUCCAUUAGAUAGUAGGCGGGGUAACGGCCCACCUAGUCUUCGAUGGAUAGGGGUUCUGAGAGGAAGGUCCCCCACAUUGGAACUGAGACACGGUCCAAACUCCUACGGGAGGCAGCAGUGAGGAAUAUUGGUCAAUGGGCGAGAGCCUGAACCAGCCAAGUAGCGUGAAGGAUGACUGCCCUAUGGGUUGUAAACUUCUUUUAUAAAGGAAUAAAGUCGGGUAUGGAUACCCGUUUGCAUGUACUUUAUGAAUAAGGAUCGGCUAACUCCGUGCCAGCAGCCGCGGUAAUACGGAGGAUCCGAGCGUUAUCCGGAUUUAUUGGGUUUAAAGGGAGCGUAGAUGGAUGUUUAAGUCAGUUGUGAAAGUUUGCGGCUCAACCGUAAAAUUGCAGUUGAUACUGGAUAUCUUGAGUGCAGUUGAGGCAGGCGGAAUUCGUGGUGUAGCGGUGAAAUGCUUAGAUAUCACGAAGAACUCCGAUUGCGAAGGCAGCCUGCUAAGCUGCAACUGACAUUGAGGCUCGAAAGUGUGGGUAUCAAACAGGAUUAGAUACCCUGGUAGUCCACACGGUAAACGAUGAAUACUCGCUGUUUGCGAUAUACAGCAAGCGGCCAAGCGAAAGCGUUAAGUAUUCCACCUGGGGAGUACGCCGGCAACGGUGAAACUCAAAGGAAUUGACGGGGGCCCGCACAAGCGGAGGAACAUGUGGUUUAAUUCGAUGAUACGCGAGGAACCUUACCCGGGCUUAAAUUGCAGAUGAAUUACGGUGAAAGCCGUAAGCCGCAAGGCAUCUGUGAAGGUGCUGCAUGGUUGUCGUCAGCUCGUGCCGUGAGGUGUCGGCUUAAGUGCCAUAACGAGCGCAACCCUUGUUGUCAGUUACUAACAGGUUCCGCUGAGGACUCUGACAAGACUGCCAUCGUAAGAUGUGAGGAAGGUGGGGAUGACGUCAAAUCAGCACGGCCCUUACGUCCGGGGCUACACACGUGUUACAAUGGGGGGUACAGAGGGCCGCUACCACGCGAGUGGAUGCCAAUCCCAAAACCUCUCUCAGUUCGGACUGGAGUCUGCAACCCGACUCCACGAAGCUGGAUUCGCUAGUAAUCGCGCAUCAGCCACGGCGCGGUGAAUACGUUCCCGGGCCUUGUACACACCGCCCGUCAAGCCAUGGGAGCCGGGGGUACCUGAAGUGCGUAACCGCGAGGAGCGCCCUAGGGUAAAACUGGUGACUGG